GCAGACACAUUCCAGCCAAUCAGCAGCAGACCCUCCCUCCCAGACCCUCCCAACUCCUGGACAGUUCACUAAGAAUGCAGCUUCAAAAUGGAUGCUGUCCAGGAGGUGGGAGGGUCUUGGAGGGAGGGUCUGCUGCUGAUUGGCUGGCAUGUAUCUG